UGGGGGAUAUUGGACAAUGGGGGGAACCCUGAUCCAGCGACGCCGCGUGAGUGAAGAAGUAUCUCGGUAUGUAAAGCUCUGUCAGCAGGGAAGAAAGAAAUGACGGUACCUGACCAAGAAGCCCCGGCUAACUACGUGCCAGCAGCCGCGGUAAUACGUAGGGGGCAAGCGUUAUCCGGAAUCACUGGGUGUAAAGGGAGCGUAGACGGUUGUGCAAGUCUGGAGUGAAAGGCGGGGGCCCAACCCCCGGACUGCUCUGGAAACUGUGUAACUGGAGUGCAGGAGAGGCAGGCGGAAUUCCUGGUGUAGCGGUGAAAUGCGUAGAUAUCAGGAGGAACACCGGUGGCGAAGGCGGCCUGCUGGACUGUAACUGACGUUGAGGCUCGAAAGCGUGGGGAGCAAACAGG
rnacentral:rRNA from 1 species